GAUGAACGCUGGCGGCGUGCCUAAUACAUGCAAGUCGAGCGAAUGGAUUGAGAGCUUGCUCUUAUGAAGUUAGCGGCGGACGGGUGAGUAACACGUGGGUAACCUGCCCAUAAGACUGGGAUAACUCCGGGAAACCGGGGCUAAUACCGGAUAACAUUUUGAACCGCAUGGUUCGAAAUUGAAAGGCGGCUUCGGCUGUCACUGAUGGAUGGACCCGCGUCGCAUUAGCUAGUUGGUGAGGUAACGGCUCACCAAGGCAACUAUGCGUAGCCGACCUGAGAGGGUGAUCGGCCACACUGGGACUGAGACACGGCCCAGACUCCUACGGGAGGCAGCAGUAGGGAAUCUUCCGCAAUGGACGAAAGUCCGACGGAGCAACGCCGCGUGAGUGAUGAAGGCUUUCGGGUCGUAAAACUCUGUUGUUAGGGAAGAACAAGUGCUAGUUGAAUAAGCUGGCACCUUGACGGUACCUAACCAGAAAGCCACGGCUAACUACGUGCCAGCCGCCGCGGUAA
rnacentral:rRNA from 1 species